UCUGUGCUGACAAAAGACUCCAAUGCGGGGCUCGAAUUCACGAACCGUGAGAUCAUGUCCUGAGCUAGAGUCGGAUGCUUAACUGAGUGAGCCACCCAGGCGCCCCUGGUUUGUUUUGUUUUUUAGUGGACUCUACCUCCAACGUGGGACUUGAACUCACAACCCCAAGAUUAAGGGUGGCAUGCCCUGCUGACUGAGCCAGCCAGGUGCCCCAAUAUAAGGCAUUUAUCUCUCACCUCUCCAUCUCAGCACUGAGCUGACAUCUUGAAAUAACUGAAAAGCAAAUUAAUUCUUUUCAGUGCAAUCUCUUGAGAGACUGCAUUCAUAACGUCCAGUUGAGUGUCUUAAAGAUCUUCUUUUCCCAUGUUUUCCCAUGUGCCCAUGUUAUCUUUUGCUGUAUAGCAAACCACCCCCCAAUGUAAUGGCUUAUGUCAAUAACUAGGUUGACGAUAUCGGCUGGAUGGUAGUUCUCUUAUGCUUUUGGCAGGUACUGCAGUCCUUUGACAACUCAUUUGGUGGGAACACCCAACUUGGCUCGUUCCCGGGGCUGGCGGUAAGCGCUGGUUGUCAGCUGAGAGCUCAGCUGAGACAGUCAGUCAGGAUGUCUUGAUUUCUUUUCACGCCCUGACUUUGGAAUUCUCACAGCAUGGCAGCCAGGUUCUAGGAGGGACCCUUCCAGGUUUGCGUAAGAGACCACCGCAGAUCUUCUUAGGCUCUGCCUUGGAAGCUACACAGUUUCACUUCUGUCACAUUCCAUUGGCCAAAGCAAGUCCCAGAUUCAAAGGAAUUGAAGAAGACUCUCCCCCUGGGGUCACCUCUGAGUUGGGAGGAAGAAUCUGUCAAGACUCAUCAAUCCACUCUCGACAGACCAAACAGUUUGGUGGAAAACAGGAUGAGUCAUGUUAAAUGAGCAAUUGGUUGGAGAUCCAGGAAAGCUAACGAUGUACUGACAGUCCAAGGCCCAAACGCCUAAGGACUGGGGGAUCUGAUGGUAUGAAUCCCAGUUCGAUGAGGGCAGAAGAUGCCAUGCGAUGUUCAAGCUCAAUCAGUGAGGCAGAAAAAAGAAGUCGUUUCCUCUUCUCUCUGCCUUUUGUUCUAUUCAGGCCCCCAGUGGGUUAGAUGAGGCCCACCCACACUGGGGAGGGUAAUUUACUUUACUGGGUCUGUCCGUUCAGACGCUAAUCUCAGCCAGAAAUACAGACACGCCAAGAAAUAAUGUUUCAUUUGGGCAUCCCAUGCCAGUCAAGGUGACACAAAAUUAAUCGUCACGUAAGGAUUCUCUUAUUUCAUUCAUGUGCUGGUACAUAAAGGAAAGUUGAAUGAAAGGGUGUGUUUGAAGUAGACAGCUUGUCUCAGAGAAUUUAAGAAAUGAAACCCAAGUUGCAUGACAUUUCUGCUUAUUUUCUUCUUUUCUCUUGAUGCCAAGUCUUGGGUAUUUGCAGGAAAAAAUCCUGGGGCCCCUGGCUGGCUCAGUCUGUUGAACAUCCAGUGGUAAGCAGAUAAGGAAGACCAAGCAAAGGAGGCAGAAAAGGAGAAAAGGCAGCACCAGCCCAGACCUGCUACAGAGAACUUUACAUGAAGGCUUGGUGAAAGUGGCAAGGAAUUACAGCACAAAUCAGUAAACAACCUAAGUUCGAGUAAGUGAAUAACCUUAUCUCAAGUUCAUCGGCCAUUUCUGCUCAUAUUUUCUUUUGGGCCACUGGCCUGCUGCCAUUUUUAUGGGUCCAUUCUCUCGCUCUAGGGUCUUUCCCCCCCUCAUCUUUCUCCUAGUUCCAAAUUCACCUCCCACCCAUUUCAAAGAAAACCUUUUCAAAAUAGACAUUAUAACUACAUGUAAAAUGUACUGAUAAUUCGUUCAAUGGAAGAAUUUAGCUUCUGUUUUUCAACCUCCUUAUUCCAGUCUGCCCCAGACUUUGCCUUUUGAAGUCCCAAUAUAUCCUUUCAAACAAAAUGCCAGUUUGCAAUACAUAUUUAGCAAUCCAAGAAUUGUUAGAAAUUUUGAAAAUCACAGCUUUUCUUUAACUGCUGAAAGAUCAAAUUCUUAGGUGGUUUCAAGGUCAAAGCAUUACUCAUAGCUCUGUGACCAGGGGCUUUUGUUAAAGGAAGCAGGACAGGAGUAGACUUUGUUACCCUUCCCUUUGUGAAUAGAAAA